UGACCUCGGAUCAGGUAGGGAUACCCGCUGAACUUAAGCAUAUA
rnacentral:rRNA from 2 species